UUUCCGUAGGUGAACCUGCGGAAGGGUCAUUAUUGAAUAAACCUGAUGUGACUGUUAGCUGGCUUUUCGAAGCAUGUGCUCGUCCGUCAUCUUUAAUCUCUCCACCUGUGCACAUUUUGUAGUCUUGGAUACCUCUCGAGGCAACUCGGAUUUUAGGAUCGCCGUGCUGCACAAGUCGGCUUUCCUUUCAUUUCCAAGACUAUGUUUUUAUAUACACCAAAGUAUGUUUAAAGAAUGUCAUCAAUAGGAACUUGUUUCCUAUAAAAUUAUACAACUUUCAGCAACGGAUCUCUUGGCUCUC
rnacentral:misc_RNA from 1 species